CCUACGGGUGGCUGCAGUAGGGAAUUUUCGUCAAUGGGCGCAAGCCUGAACGAGCAAUGCCGCGUGAACGAGGAAGGUCUUCGGAUCGUAAAGUUCUGUUGAAGGGGAAAAAGAGCGGAGAGAGGAAAUGCUUUCUGAUUGAUAUUACCCUUCGAGGAAGUCACGGCUAACUACGUGCCAGCAGCCGCGGUAAUACGUAGGUGGCGAGCGUUAUCCGGAAUGAUUGGGCGUAAAGGGUGCGUAGGCGGCCUGCUAAGUCUGGAGGGAAAGGUACCGGCUCAACCGGUACAGGCUCUGGAAACUGGCGGGCUAGAGAGCAGGAGAGGGCGGUGGAACUCCAUGUGUAGCGGUAAAAUGCGUAGAUAUAUGGAAGAACACCAGUAGCGAAGGCGGCCGCCUGGCCUGCCACUGACAUUGAUGCUCGAAAGUGUGGGUAUCAAACAGGAUUAGAUACCCCAGUAGUC
rnacentral:rRNA from 1 species